AGAGUUUGAUCCUGGCUCAGGAUGAACGCUGGCGGCGUGCUUAACACAUGCAAGUCGAACGGACACGUCUUUCGGGAUGUGUUAGUGGCAGACGGGUGCGUAACACGUAGGUGACCUGCCCUAGAGUGGGGAAUAAUUCCGCUAACGCGGGACUAAUACCGCAUACGUUCGGUGAUUCGCUUCACCGAGUAAAGUCGCAAGACGCUCUGGGAUGGGCCUGCGGCGGAUUAGGUAGUUGGUGGGGUAAUGGCCUACCAAGCCGAUGAUCCGUAGGGGGCGUGAGAGCGUGGCCCCCCACACUGGCACUGAGAUACGGGCCAGACUCCUACGGGAGGCAGCAGUGAGGAAUAUUGCACAAUGGGCGAAAGCCUGAUGCAGCAACGCCGCGUGAGGGACGAAGGCCCUCGGGUCGUAAACCACUUUUCUCUGGGAAGAAGCUCUGACGGACCAGAGAAUAGCUCGAUC
rnacentral:rRNA from 1 species